rfam:Triticum aestivum genome assembly, contig: Triticum_aestivum_CS42_TGACv1_scaffold_375294_5AL
AAUGUACUCCCUCCGUUCGAAAUUAGUUAUCGCAGAAAUGAUGUAUCUAGAUGUAUUUUAGUUCUAGAUACAUCCAUAUCCGAGACAAGUAAUUCCGAACGGAGGGAGUAUGUG